rnacentral:rRNA from 1 species
AUUGAACGCUGGCGGCAUGCCUUACACAUGCAAGUCGAACGGCAGCACGGGUGCUUGCACCUGGUGGCGAGUGGCGAACGGGUGAGUAAUAUAUCGGAACGUACCUUAUCGUGGGGGAUAACGCAGCGAAAGCUGCGCUAAUACCGCAUACGCCCUGAGGGGGAAAGCGGGGGACCGUAAGGCCUCGCGCGAUUAGAGCGGCCGAUAUCUGAUUAGCUUGUCGGUGGGGUAAAGCCCACCAAGGCGACGAUCAGUAGCUGGUCUGAGAGGACGAUCAGCCACACUGGGACUGAGACACGGCCCAGACUCCUACGGGAGGCAGCAGUGGGGAAUUUUGGACAAUGGGGGAAACCCUGAUCCAGCCAUGCCGCGUGAGUGAAGAAGGCCUC